rnacentral:rRNA from 1 species
GUCCAUGGCCAUGCCACCCUGAACAAGCCCAAUUCCAUCUGAUCUCAGAAGUUAAGCAGAGUUGGGUCUGGUUAGUAUUUGGAUGGGAGACCACCUAGGAAGACCAGGAGCUGUAGGUG